rnacentral:rRNA from 1 species
GACGAACGCUGGCGGCGUGCUUAACACAUGCAAGUCGAACGGUAAGGCCCUUCGGGGUACACGAGUGGCGAACGGGUGAGUAACACGUGGGUGAUCUGCCCUGCACUUCGGGAUAAGCCUGGGAAACUGGGUCUAAUACCGGAUAGGACCCUGGGAUGCAUGUCCUGGGGUGGAAAGCUUUUGCGGUGUGGGAUGGGCCCGCGGCCUAUCAGCUUGUUGGUGGGGUGAUGGCCUACCAAGGCGACGACGGGUAGCCGGCCUGAGAGGGUGACCGGCCACACUGGGACUUGGAGACGGCCCAGACUCCUACGGGAGGCAGCAGUGGGGAAUAUUGCACAAUGGGCGCAAGCCUGAUGCAGCGACGCCGCGUGAGGGAUGACGGCCUUCGGGUUGUAAACCUCUUGCAGUAGGGACGAAGCGCAAGUGACGGUACCUACAGAAGAAGGACCGGCCAACUACGUGCCAGCCGCCGCAGUAA